CUCCAUUGGUUGUUUUGGUUUUCUACCAACCUUUACUUCUGUGAUAGUGAUAUAGUGUGAUAUUCUUACUGGGCUAGUGUAACUCAUUCCUUAUUUAACAAUUUCAGAUUAGGAAGACCUGAUUCCCGAGCCUGAUCCACAAGAAGACGGCGAGUAGAUGCUAGAUGCUUUAUAGUUUCCUUUAUUUUUCUCAUUUCUCGUAUUUCCUUUAUUAUUCUGUGAUAUUGUUUAGUAUUUUUAAGUUGUUGUGUAAGGGAUGUUAAUCUUAAUCUUUUAUUUUGCUUCCGCACUCAGAUUAUUAUAUGUAUUUACUUUUGAAUUUUCGAGGCCGUUACAGUUAGUAUUAGAGUCCCGUUCCUCGAACCCAUCCCUUACACAAUAAUAAUUAGAGAAACACCAAACAAUGAAUUAUCACUUAACUCUUUCUUGUGAAAUGCAGGUAUAGAGAGAUGAGAAGAGGAAGACCCCCACUAAACCGGGCAGCUCGGGAGGGUUCGCUCAGGGAAGACGUGGACAGGAUAUUUGAGAUGUUAGAAAG
rnacentral:lncRNA from 1 species